rnacentral:rRNA from 1 species
UACGUAGGGGGCAAGCGUUGUUCGGAAUUACUGGGCGUAAAGGGCGCGUAGGCGGUUUGUCGCGUCUGCCGUGAAAAUCCGAGGCUCAACCUCGGACUUGCAGUGGGUACGGGCAGACUAGAGUGUGGUAGGGGAGACUGGAAUUCCUGGUGUAGCGGUGAAAUGCGCAGAUAUCAGGAGGAACACCGGUGGCGAAGGCGGGUCUCUGGGCCGAUACUGACGCUGAGGAGCGAAAGCGUGGGGAGCGAACAGG